UACGGGGGGAGCAAGCGUUGUUCGGAUUUACUGGGCGUAAAGGGCGCGUAGGCGGCACUGUUAGUCAGGCGUGAAAGUCCUGGGCUCAACCUGGGAACUGCGCUUGAUACGGCAGAGCUAGAGGAUGGAAGAGGGUCGCGGAAUUCCCAGUGUAGAGGUGAAAUUCGUAGAUAUUGGGAAGAACACCGGUGGCGAAGGCGGCGACCUGGUCCAUUACUGACGCUGAGGCGCGACAGCGUGGGGAGCAAACAGG
rnacentral:rRNA from 1 species